CCACCACCAGGGCUCUGCCCACUGUGAUGUGGUCACUAUGUCACUAGGACUGGUGAUAGGAUUUCAUACUGGGACCAGCCCUCAGCUACCCUUGGAGAAAGAUUGCAGAGCUGCCUUCGUCCAUGGCUGUGGGGACCUUCCAGCUCCAUGAAACAGCUGGAAACCCUGAUAAUUUUGCUGCAGUGUUAAUCCUUGCCACAACAUAUUCUGUCAAAGAUAACAGAGAAGGAUCCACGCUGGACUAA
rnacentral:lncRNA from 1 species